UGAAAGCACAAGGUUUCUUUCAGUAUAAAGCCCCUGGAAAGGCCAAAAGAUAAAUACUUCGAAGAAGUUUCGUCAUGCAGAUAAAGACGGUUAGAGGUUCUGUCUUAGUUCAACACCAUAUCAAAUCUAUACAGCUGUGACCUUAUGGCCCACAUGAAAAAAAGACGUGCGAGUUUCAAAUGAACCCAUCUGGAGUGAAAUGACUAACACACGACAGCGUAUCAGGUGGAUUUUGGAACGGGAUUAAGAGAAAUCACGGCAAUAAUUUAAGACCCGACUUUUGCUUUAACAGCCUGCUUCCCAGACCUCUGGAUCACUUCUGUAGUCUCUUAUAAAGUUGCGUAUACAAAAAGCGCUCCCCGACUUCUUUGAUUUCCACGCCGCAUAUCUGUCAAUCGAUGCUCCGUUGGGUUACUGUUAGCAACGGAACAAAACAUCAACAAGGAAGAGGAAUCGCACGCUCGGCACUGCCGGCUCAUUCUUUCUCACUCGAUGCGAGACAGUCGUGGCUCACUCUCUUGACAGCUGUUUGACAUUACGGGUAAUGCUGCGGAUGGAGAGGGAUGGUGAAUUCCUGGAGGAAGACUCAGGCGUCGGGACAGUGCAUGCAGAUGUCCUCCGCUCCAGACGAUAAACUUCACCCUGGUGCUCUACAGAAGUUCAUCAUCACAGGGAGUGGAGUCGAGGGGGAUCUUUUAAUGAUUUCAACAUCAUGACUGAACUAGAUCUUUCAUACCUUUCUCCUCAAUCAUUUUAUAAUCAAACCUCAGAGAAAACAUCGAGCCAAGAUAAGCUCCUCACUCAACGCAGCAGUUUGCAACGGCCUCCCUCCUCACUCCAGUGAAACUUCUGAGUCGGAAAGGACGGCUUUGAUUUUGCAAGAGCGCUACAGGUUAAUCGAAUACUUUCCUGCGGCUUAGACACUAAACAGAAAUCUCUGGAGCUCUAUAGAUGUGCCAAAAGAACUUGGGAGCCAAAACAGCAAGGCCACAUGUGAGCAGAGUGACACUGCAUGGACGGAUUCUUGCUCAGAGCUUGGCUGACACGAUCACUGUCCUCCGUGUUUUUCUUUCUCUAACUUUGUUUCUUCCAGCAUACCAUCAUGUUACAAUCUGAUUAUUUUUCUUUUGGCAUGCCUCAACAGCAUCAGUGCCAUGUGUUAUCGCCCCUCACAAACAGUUAUUGUGUUUCAGAAGACGUGCCAUCUGGAAGGGUGCAUUUCUGUAAGAGAAACCAUAGAGAGCAAAUCUCUUUAAAGGGACAGUUCCCCCAAAAAUAACAAUUCUGUCAUCAUUCAUGUAAUUUAAAACCCAUGUAUCUUUCUUCUGUGAGGAUAUUGUGAGAAAUGUCUCUUUGUCCAUAUACUACAAUGGAAGUCAAUGGGUGCCAGUGUUGUUUGGUGACAAAAGUUAUUUCUCAGAAUAACAUUGACCAACACGGUCAUAAAGUCUGGGUCAGUAACCGUUACAUGAGCCGUUUUUUUUCUACAGUAAUUUAAUAUUGAAAAAGAUUCUUUACAAUCAAUGCAUCAUCAAAAAUUCCCACUAUGUUUACAAACUUAUUUCAUUCUUAGAGGGGGCUUGUCUGGUUGUUUUACAGAAGAAAGACAUACAGGUUUGGAAUGACAUGAGGGUCAGCGAAUAAUAAAGUAUUUUUUUUAUUUUGGAGAGGAACUGUCCCUUUAAUACCUCAGUCCCUCUUUCUAGACAGCAAUGAGCAGUUUUGUGUCUAUUUUCAUCAUCUGUCUUUACGAAAUAUAGUAGAAGCAAC